ACUAUAGUGAGGAGGCCAUUCUAACUCCACUAUAGUGAGGAGGCCAUUCUAACUCCACUAUAGUGAGGAGGCCAUUCUAACUCUACUUUAGUGAGGAGGCCAUUCUAACUCUACUAUAGUGAGGAGGCCAUUCUAACUCUACUAUAGUGAGGAGGCUACUCUAACUCUACUAUAGUGAGGAGGCCAUUCUAACUCCACUAUAGUGAGGAGGCCAUUCUAACUCUACUAUAGUGAGGAGGCUAUUCUAACUCCACUAUAGUGAGGAGGCUAUUCUAACUCCACUAUAGUGAGGAGGCCAUUCUAACUCCACUAUAGUGAGGAGGCCAUUCUAACUCCACUAUAGUGAGGAGGCCAUUCUAACUCCACUAUAGUGAGGAGGCCAUUCUAACUCCACUAUAGUGAGGAGGCCAUUCUAACUCUACUAUAGUGAGGAGGCCAUUCUAACUCCACUAUAGUGAGGAGGCCAUUCUAAAAGUU
ensembl:lncRNA